AGUGAACGCUGGCGGUAGGCCUAACACAUGCAAGUCGAACGGCAGCACAGUAAGAGCUUGCUCUUACGGGUGGCGAGUGGCGGACGGGUGAGGAAUACAUCGGAAUCUACUUUUUCGUGGGGGAUAACGUAGGGAAACUUACGCUAAUACCGCAUACGACCUACGGGUGAAAGCAGGGGAUCUUCGGACCUUGCGCGAUUGAAUGAGCCGAUGUCGGAUUAGCUAGUUGGCGGGGUAAAGGCCCACCAAGGCGACGAUCCGUAGCUGUUCUGAGAGGAUGAUGAGCCACACUGGAUCUGAGACACGGGCCAGACUCGUACGGGAGGCAGCAGUGGGGAAUAUUGGACAGUGGGCGCAAGCCUGAUCCAGCCAUACCGCGUGGGUGAAGAAGGCCUUCGGGUUGUAAAGCCCUUUUGUUGGGAAAGAAAAGCAGCAGGUUAAUACCCCGCUGUUCUGACGGUACCCAAAGAAUAAGCACCGGCUAACUUCGU
rnacentral:rRNA from 1 species